rnacentral:rRNA from 1 species
GACGAACGCUGGCGGCGUGCCUAACACAUGCAAGUCGAGCGGGGUUGAAGCGAGGGGUAACUCAAGCUUCUACCUAGCGGCGGACGGGUGAGUAACGCGUGGGCAACCUGCCUCAAGGUCUGGGAUAACAGCUCGAAAGGGCUGCUAAUACCGGAUAUGCCUAUGGCCUCGCAUGGGGCUAUGAGCAAAGGGGAAACCUGCCUUGAGAUGGGCCCGCGUCCCAUCAGCUAGUUGGUGAGGUAACAGCUCACCAAGGCGACGACGGGUAGCCGGCCUGAGAGGGUGACCGGCCACACUGGGACUGAGACACGGCCCAGACUCCUACGGGGGGCAGCAGUGGGGGAGUCUUGCACAAUGGGCGGAAAGCCUGAUGCAGCGACGCCGCGUGAGCGAAGAAGGCCUCGGUUGUAAGACUCUGUCUGGAGGGACGGAAGGAAGGUAGACGGUACCGUCCCGGACGGGAAGGACCGACCGGCCGUAACUACGUACGCCACGCAGCCGCGGUAAACCGGUAAGUAC